GUGAGGAAUAUUGGUCAAUGGGCGGGAGCCUGAACCAGCCAAGUCGCGUGAAGGAAGAAGGAUCUAUGGUUCGUAAACUUCUUUUGCAGGGGAAUAAAGUGCAGGACGUGUCCUGUUUUGUAUGUACCCUGAGAAUAAGGAUCGGCUAACUCCGUGCCAGCAGCCGCGGUGAUACGGAGGAUCCGAGCGUUAUCCGGAUUUAUUGGGUUUAAAGGGUGCGUAGGUGGUUUGAUAAGUCAGCGGUGAAAGUUUGCAGCUUAACUGUAAAAAUGCCGUUGAAACUGUCGGACUUGAGUGUAAAUGAGGUAGGCGGAAUGCGUGGUGUAGCGGUGAAAUGCAUAGAUAUCACGCAGAACUCCGAUUGCGAAGGCAGCUUACUAAGCUACAACUGACACUGAAGCACGAAAGCGUGGGGAUCAAACAGGAUUAGAUACCCGGGUAGUCC
rnacentral:rRNA from 1 species